GAUGAACGCUGGCGGCGUGCCUAAUACAUGCAAGUCGAGCGAACAGACGAGGAGCUUGCUCCUCUGACGUUAGCGGCGGACGGGUGAGUAACACGUGGAUAACCUACUUAUAAGACUGGGAUAACUUCGGGAAAACGGAGAUAAUAACAGCGAAUAUAUUGAACCGCAUGGUUCAAGAGUGAAAGACGGUUUUGGUGACACUUAUAGAUGGUUCCGCGCCGCAUUAGCUAGUUGGUAAGGUAACGGCUUACCAAGGCGACGAUGCGUAGCCGACCUGAGAGGGUGAUCGGCCACACUGGAACUGAGACACGGUCCAGACUCCUACGGGAGGCAGCAGUAGGGAAUCUUCCGCAAUGGGCGAAAGCUUGACGGAGCAACGCCGCGUGAGUGAUGAAGGUCUUCGGAUCGUAAAACUCUGUUAUUAGGGAAGAACAAAUGUGUAAGUAACUAUGCACGUCUUGACGGUACCUAAUCAGAAAGCCACGGCUAACUACGUG
rnacentral:rRNA from 1 species